UUGCAAAAGGUGCCCGUUCUC
rnacentral:siRNA from 1 species